AAGGCCACCUUCAAGACGAUAUUGAGAAUGUAAAUGCCGGAAAGGUAAGUCAUCAGUAAGUGAUGUAGAAUUCUCAAACCCAUCUCGAAGCCUUCGAAUUCAUGGCUCAAUCUUUUGAGCCUCGCGAACCUCAUCAAGAGAAGGUAGAUCUUGCUCUGCAUCUUGUGGACACUGAACGUCAAGUAUAACAAUCGCCGACGGCACAGAAUCCUCGUCUAGAAAAUCCACAGAUGCUGGAACAACAGGCUCGUCAAAAACAUGAGAAGAGAAUGAAGA
rnacentral:lncRNA from 1 species